UUGUGAAAUUUCUGCAUGAAAGUGUAGGGGAGUUCUUAAUUGCUAGAUAACGCAGGUUUGGUACAUCCGUUUGGGCAAAGGAGAUUUUCUUCACUCUAGCCAUUUCCACCCGCUGGAUUUCUCGUAAUUUCGGGAGUUGUUAAACAUGGAGCAAAAAGUGUACUACGUUUUGAUCACUAUAUUGAAUUUAUUGAAACUAAUUAUUCUGGCAGAAAUGCCAUCUCCGUCAUCACACUCGGAGAAUCAGGAUCAGGCUAGGUCAGAGGGACCUAGCCAUCAGCCUAGAUCCGAGGGAGCUAGGCGACGGAAUGGAAGGAGGAGAAAAUGCAGAAUGUGGGGAGAGGAUGUGGUAUACUACACGUCCUCUAACGAUAAUAUGUCCCUAAGAGGGACUGAUUUCAAAAAUCCCGACAGCGUUGGAUGAUGCAGGUCCUUCCAUCAAUGACGUGUCGGAGUGACAACAUAUUUAUUAUUCAUCAUGUGUUAAAUAAAAAAAAAA